AGUUUUGCAGGGUUUGCAGUCAGCCUCGGCUCGCAUCUUCCCUCCGACCUGCUGUGCAAAUCCAUGCAAAACUGA
rnacentral:pre_miRNA from 1 species